rnacentral:tRNA from 1 species
GGGUCCAUAGCUCAGUGGCAAAGCAUUUGAUUGCAGAUCGAGAGGUCGUUGGUUCAAAUCUGAUUGGUCUUU